rnacentral:lncRNA from 1 species
CUGGAAGAUUCUGCACACCCUACCCUAGAGGUCCCCCCAUGGGCUAUAGGGCAUGUCCACCUCCUGAACCUUGGUGGCCCUGGGGACCACCCCGGACCUCUCUACCUACACCGCGUGAUCCAGAAGUUGCUCCUGUGAGUGAGAACAACACAGACUCUACCAAAAGGGCCAAGAAGGACAAGGACAACUUGAACUUUGAAGAGGACCCUAAACUGUGACCAAUAGGCUGUGGCAAUGUGAUAUAUUGAGAAAAGUUGUCUGAUACGCGUAUUUGAAUGAAUCCUUUCCCUCACCAUUCCUGUCCCCUCUAUUUUGUCUGUACUCGUUUCCUGUAAUAAACCCAUCAUAGUUCUGCCUCUGUGUCAGUGUCUGCUUCCAGGAAGACCUACGGUCAUUCUAUUUCGAUGCACACAGUGUGACUCCUGUAUACACUGUCACAAACAGGUAGAAUCUACAGUAAUAGGGACAGAAGACAAGUCAUCA